rnacentral:rRNA from 1 species
GGGCCCGCACAAGCGGCGGAGCAUGCGGAUUAAUUCGAUGCAACGCGAAGAACCUUACCAAGGCUUGACAUAUAGAGGAAAAGUGCAGAAAUGCACUCCCCGCAAGGUCUCUAUACAGGUGGUGCAUGGUUGUCGUCAGCUCGUGUCGUGAGAUGUUGGGUUAAGUCCCGCAACGAGCGCAACCCUCGUCCUAUGUUGCCAGCACGUAAUGGUGGGAACUCAUGGGAUACUGCCGGGGUCAACUCGGAGGAAGGUGGGGAUGACGUCAAAUCAUCAUGCCCCUUAUGUCUUGGGCUUCACGCAUGCUACAAUGGCCGGUACAGAGGGCUGCAAUACCGCAAGGUGGAGCGAAUCCCAAAAAGCCGGUCUCAGUUCGGAUUGAGGUCUGCAACUCGACCUCAUGAAGUCGGAGUCGCUAGUAAUCGUAGAU